rnacentral:rRNA from 1 species
GUGGGGAAUAUUGGACAAUGGGCGAAAGCCUGAUCCAGCAAUGCCGCGUGAGUGAUGAAGGCCCUAGGGUUGUAAAGCUCUUUUACCCGGGAUGAUAAUGACAGUACCGGGAGAAUAAGCUCCGGCUAACUCCGUGCCAGCAGCCGCGGUAAUACGGAGGGAGCUAGCGUUGUUCGGAAUUACUGGGCGUAAAGCGCGCGUAGGCGGUUUUUUAAGUCAGGGGUGAAAGCCCGGAGCUCAACUCCGGAAUAGCCUUUGAAACUGGAAAACUUGAAUCUUGGAGAGGUCAGUGGAAUUCCGAGUGUAGAGGUGAAAUUCGUAGAUAUUCGGAAGAACACCAGUGGCGAAGGCGACUGACUGGACAAGUAUUGACGCUGAGGUGCGAAAGCGUGGGGAGCAAACAGGAUUAGAAACCCUAGUAGUCC